CGUUCUUGUUUUGUUCCUUUUUUACAGAUGACGAACAAAUGUAAGCUGCAACAUCGAUGUCUUCAUGUACGAGUUACUUUAGACAUUAAAGGAAACAUCUUCAUGUCAGCAAGUAUAAGUUUCCAUGUUUUGCGUCUGAAUGCAAUGCGAAACGUUUUCUUCAUUCCGUUUUCUCUUCUCAGUGCCUAAGAAAUCCUGCUCAUAAAAAGCAACAACUGCCGGCUCCAACGAUUUCCAGCAUGGAGGAAACUGAAGCAUUCCUUCUUGAAGAACUGCAGGUACCUACAGAAUAACGGAGCAUACAAGAGCUGAUUUUCUCCUGUAGGAAGGACAACCAAUCCAGGAUUUCUCUGUUCCAUCCCGUCAUAUAUUAGAAAUUGGCAGGAGAACCACUGCAGGGUGUCGCUCUUCCACCCACGUCAGCCAUAUUAUCAAUUGAUGCUUCCUUGAGAUCUAUCAACCGGUGGGAGCUACAUGAAGGCACAAGAAGCAUUGUUCGAGCACAGAGAAG